rnacentral:rRNA from 1 species
UACAGAGGUCUCAAGCGUUGUUCGGAUUCAUUGGGCGUAAAGGGUGCGUAGGCGGUGCGGUAAGUCGGGUGUGAAAUCUUGGAGCUUAACUCCGAAACUGCACUGGAUACUGCUCUGCUGGAGGACUGGAGAGGAGACUGGAAUUCACGGUGUAGCAGUGAAAUGCGUAGAUAUCGUGAGGAAGACCAGUGGCGAAGGCGGGUCUCUGGACAGUUCCUGACGCUGAGGCGCGAAGGCCAGGGGGAGCAAAACGGGG